AUUGAACGCUGGCGGCAUGCCUUACACAUGCCAGUCGAACGGUAACAGGUCUUCGGAUGCUGACGAGUGGCGAACGGGUGAGUAAUACACCGGAACGUGCCCGAUCGUGGGGGAUAACGAAGCGAAAGCUUUGCUAAUACCGCAUACGAUCUACGGAUGAAAGCAGGGGACCGCAAGGCCUUGCGCGAACGGAGCGGCCGAUGGCAGAUUAGGUAGUUGGUGGGAUAAAAGCUUACCAAGCCGACGAUCUGUAGCUGGUCUGAGAGGACGACCAGCCACACUGGGACUGAGACACGGCCCAGACUCCUACGGGAGGCAGCAGUGGGGAAUUUUGGACAAUGGGCGAAAGCCUGAUCCAGCCAUGCCGCGUGCAGGAUGAAGGCCUUCGGGUUGUAAACUGCUUUUGUACGGAACGAAAAGACUCUGGUUAAUACCUGGGGUCCAUGACGGUACCGUAAGAAUAAGCACCGGCUAACUACGUG
rnacentral:rRNA from 1 species